CUUAGAGUUUGAUCCUGGCUCAGAAUGAACGUUGGCGGCGUGGAUUAGGCAUGCAAGUCGUGCGGUAAGGCCUCUUCGGAGGUACACGAGCGGCGAAAGGGAGAGUAACGCGUGGAUUAUCUACCCCGGGGUCCGGAAUAGCUGUGGGAAACUGCAGGUAAUGCCGGAUAAUGUCUCCGGACCAAAGGUGCGAUUCCGCCCUGGGAUGAGUUCGCGUCCUAUUAGCUUGUUGGUGGGGUAACGGCCUACCAAGGCGACAAUGGGUACCGGGCGUGAGAGCGUGACCCGGCUCACUGGGACUGAGACACUGCCCAGACACCUACGGGUGGCUGCAGUCGAGAAUCUUCGGCAAUGGGCGCAAGCCUGACCGAGCGACGCCGCGUGCGGGAUGAAGGCCUUCGGGUUGUAAACCGCUGUCAGAGAGGCGGAAAUGCAUUGGGGCACUCCCCAAUGUUUGACCUAAUCUCAGAGGAAGCGCAGGCUAAGUUCGUGCCAGCAGCCGCGGUAAGACGAACUGCGCGAACGUUAUUCGGAAUUACUGGGCUUAAAGGGUGCGUAGGCGGCUUGGAAGGUGGGGUGUGAAAUCCCUCGGCUUAACCGAGGAAUUGCGCUCCAAACCAUCAGGCUUGAGUAAGACAGAGGUGAGCGGAACUCAUGGUGGAGCGGUGAAAUGCGUUGAUAUCAUGAGGAACACCGGUGGCGAAGGCGGCUCACUGGGUCUUAACUGACGCUGAGGCACGAAAGCUAGGGUAGCGAACGGGAUUAGAUACCCCGGUAGUCCUAGCUGUAAACGANNNNCNCNNAUCGAGGGCUCUUCCACAGGCUCUCGGUCGUAGCGAAAGUGUUAA
rnacentral:rRNA from 1 species